rnacentral:rRNA from 1 species
AUACGUAGGGUGGGAGCGUUGUCCGGAAUUACUGGGCGUAAAGAGCUCGUAGGUGGUUUGUCGCGUCGUCUGUGAAAUUCAGGGGCUUAACUCCGGGCGUGCGGGCGAUACGGGCAUAACUUGAGUACUGUAGGGGAGACUGGAAUUCCUGGUGUAGCGGAGAAAUGCGCAGAUAUCAGGAGGAACACCGGUGGCGAAGGCGGGUCUCUGGGCAGUAACUGACGCUGAGGAGCGAAAGCAUGGGUAGCGAGCAGGAUUAGAUACCCUGGUAGUCCAUGCCGUAAACGGUGGGCGCUAGGUGUAGGGGUCUUCCACGACUUCUGUGCCGUAGCUAACGCAUUAAGCGCCCCGCCUGGGGAGUACGGCCGCAGGGCUAAAACUCAAAUGAAUUGACGGGG